GGAUGGAUGAAUUUCAUCGCUUGGAGGAACAGCUCAAAAUUGCUGAGUAAAGAAAUCUAAUGGGACUAUCCAGCCAGGAUCAUGGACAGGCUCUUUACCAACAGUCUCAUGUCCAAGUUCAACAUGAAGGGCUACCGCGCCAAGACAGCCUUCAAAACCAGUGCAUUGUACUCCAUUUUGAGUGCUGCAGUUAAGAAGUGGGACAGCAAGCCACGGACCAUUAGAGAGGGCAAUCUAUUGCUGACCAUUUAAAGCUGAAACAAUUGUACUAAAUGACGUCUUUUCACCUUUCACUUUCAACCAAAACCAAAUGUAUCUUAGAUGACUGGAAAAGCCGUUUUUUUUGUUUUUUUUUACAUCUUUUCAACUACAUUUUGCUGGGUGGGAGGCCGUUAUUAGGAUAGCAAAGGGCCAGCAGACCUGGGGUCAGCAGACCACCAGCCUCUUAGAGGAAUGUGCACGAAUGCAUGAAAUAAUAAAUUAAUAAAAGAAUAAAAGUAGCUUGAUGAAUGUACAUGUAGUAA